rnacentral:lncRNA from 1 species
CAAAAGCAAGUUCCCUGUGUGGAGGAAGAGACAGGGUGACCUUGAAAAAUGUUGGUGGACAAAGGUCAGGAAGUUGUAGCCACUGAACAGAGUCCCCUCGUGGCAAAUGUAUAAUAUAACUGGGAUGGAGAAAGUGAUAAAGGCCUCUCCUGGGUAAGAGGGCAUUUUAUACUGAAAAGAUAACAGAUCUAUGCCAAAGCAUUGAGAUGAGAGAAGCAUCCUACUCCCAUGAAUAAGACAGCAAUUAAAAGCUGUGUCAGUUAAGAAGGAGAAGGCUUCCGAGGUGAGACUCUUCCUGCCAGAGAAUCUUUAGAUCUUAUACUUAAGAAUUAAAGAUCAGUCCUUAAAGGAGCAACAAGUGGGGUUGUUCAAACCAUCUUCUAAAAGAGCGUAGGUCACUGUGUCCUCUCUCAGUUCUCCACUCAGCCAGUUCAUGCCCCGUGCCCUGGUGCAAGUGAGACUGCACACUGGGAAGUCGUGGAGCUCUUCUUUUCCUCCUACCCUUCUCUCAAGCAAAUCUUCCACUUUAAUUGUAUAUUAAGGGACUCGUGUCUAGCUUUAUUGAUGUUAGUGAGGUUAGAAAAAAUUAAACAAUUCUCUUUAUAGUAACUACAGCCUUAUUAAAUAAGGGUCCAUAAGCUCUUUAAAUAUAACACUGCAUGCCUAUGUUGAGAAAACCUGAAUGAAUCUCAAUUAGCAACUCUGGCUCAUUAGUAGCAUCUACCUAGAAGGACAUGAGAAGGGUUCUGAAGUUGAAUACUAGUCAAUUCAACAAAAUAUGCCAUUGAUUAUUAAUACCUACCAGAAGGGAAAGAGAAAGAAAUGUGUGGCAGCUGCACCAUGGGCAGAAGUGUAGCAGGGAGAGAGGAGUGGCUUCUUCUGCAGAUGGAACUCUAGAGAGAGCAAGAAGCAGUCACAAUGGGUGGCAGAGAUGUCAGGGGAGAGUGGAAGUGCCUAGUUUCCUGACGUAACUUUCACAGAGGCUUAAAAAUCAUCAUAAAAAUGCAUUUGGAAAACCCCCAAUAUCUGAGCAUGAUUCAGAUGUAAACAAUGAGGGGUCAAGCUCAACACAAGGUUGAGAAAUAGAAUGGGGGCAGGUUGUACGGGACUUUUCUUCUUCUCUGGACACAACUGAGUUGACAUUACAAACAUAAAAGUUAAAACCAAUGUUCAUGGGAGAAAUCUAGGUGAAAAUCUCCCUCGCUCACAGCCCAUUGCUCAUACAAUCAUGGAUGAUUUUCUGCAUCAAUCAGCUGUUUUGCCCUGUCUGAGUGAGCCAAGUCCAGUGACCAGAGACAAUAUGAUAAAAGUCUCAGAGGCAUAAAAAUAAUCAAGAAUGGCUAAGUAACAUCAGGAAUGUUCAUCUGAGGCAACUUAUUGCUAAAUUCAGGUGACUGUACUCCACGCUCCUGAUGUCAUCUUCCUGAACAAAAUACAAGCAGGCAUAUAUUCAAGGAAGUAGUGUUGCACCGAUUCUGUUUAGCCCCAAAGACAAUGGCAGGCCAAGGCUGAAAGUAACUCACCCUGAUAUGGAUGACCAUUAAAAUGUGGAAGGACUGGAAGCUGCUGCUUUGCAAACUCCCUAUUUCCAUAGCCCAAGUUGAGAUUUUCUACAUCAGAGUUUUCUGUACAGUAGAAACGCCACGGGUCAGGUUGGAAAAGAAGGAACCUUGGAACACCUCCUUGUGCUUUUUUCUUUUUUACACAAGACCCACAUUUUUGUGCAUCACCUACAUUUUCUUAAGAGCCAACUCUCCUAUCCAACCAUAGGUUAAUUCUUAAAAUGUGCCCAGCACUAACUCUUCUGUUCACCAGUCCUCAUCCAUAUGGCAUUUAGUUUCAUACUCUGUUAGAUGACAGAACGGAGCCCUCUGAAAAUGAGACUUGUCUGGCUUCUUUAAUAUACAUUUGGGCUAAUAUCUGGUCCCCUAAUUAAUCUCCCUAUGACUGACAGAAACUGAUAACAAGCUCAUUUGCCCACAGAAUUACAUGUUUAUCAGGGUUCUCUUCAAAACAAAAGGCAUCCACAGAGUUUUAGAUUUGCAUUUCGGUGGAAGCAGAGGACUGUAGUUUUAAAAGGCAUUUAUUUUUUAUGUACAUAAAUCCAGUAGCAGAAAAGACCUUGGGCUGAAUGAAAAGGGUUUCUUGGAGAUGCAUACACAGAAAUGGUCAUCCCCUCAUUGCUCAAGAAAGAGGACUGUUCAGGAGAAAUGCACAAAUAUAUCCUGGGACGAAUAGCUCCACUUCUGAAAUGAAAUGGAUCAUUCUCCUUGCCUGAGCCUAAUGCUUAAUGUGGAAGAGAUAUUAACCUUGGAACCCAUGGACCUCUGAGUAUCAGGACUCAUUCUGCUUCUUGUUUAUACACCAUGGAUAUUUCUUCAGGUAAUUGAAGCUAGUUGCUCAUCAGCCUGAAAAAUUACUGGGUGAGGAAAAUGCUCUGUGUUAUUGUGUAAAGUUAUUAUGAACUAAAGCACAACUGAUACCACACCCCACCCAUAUGAUAAUCAGCUGUACAUGUCACACACUGAACUCCAAACACUGACCCAUAGAAAUUUCUAUUGCCUCUUCUUCUUUGGUGCCUACUGUAGAACCUGUUGUAUAAUAGGAACUUGAUACAUGUUUGCUGAAUUGACUUCCAUUGAAUUGAAUAAGUAACUUGCAAGGUCUAAGGAGGUGACAAAAGAAUCUACAUUUUACACCAUCACCAUUGCCUUGCUCACAGCUGACAUGAGGAAUUAUGUGGUAAAUGGCAAGCAAAUGAAUAAACAAAUUGAAAGACCUGAAGAGAUGAUUCUUAUCAUCGCUCAACACACUUUGGAAUCGCCUGGAGUAUUUAAAAAUAAAUCUCUGGGACACUGCCCCACAGAAUGAUUUAAAUGUUUUCCCAGGAUAUUCUAAUAAUAUACAAUAAAGGUUGAGAACCAGUGGCUUUGAAUAAUAGGAAGGUAUCUCCCUGCACUAACCCCGUUUUUUUGUUGUUGUUGUUUCCUCUAACCAAAUGGGGUUUAAUCUUCCUGUGUAGGACAAAUUGUCCUGAAAAGCCUGACAUGGAAGAGUGAUGUUGCUAGUGCUUUUUAAACACCAUCAAGAAGUAGUUUCCUGCACUGUUAGCCCUCCACAGCCAUCAUCACCCUGGCAGACACCUGACCCUGUUUUCCCCAUACAGGGAUUGCAUGUGUGCAUACAGGAAACAAAAC